GACAGAGGGUGCAAACGUUGUUCGGAAUUACUGGGCGUAAGCGUGUGUAGGCGGCCGCGACAGUCGGAUGUGAAAGCCCUGGGCUCAACUCAGGAAGUGCACCCGAUACUACGUGGCUAGAGUACCGGAGAGGUUGGUAGAAUUCUCGGUGUAGAGGUGAAAUUCGUAGAUAUCGAGAGGAACACCUGAGGCGAAGGCGGGUUGCUAGGCUGACACUGACGCUGAGGCGCGAAAGCUAGGGUAGCAAACGGG
rnacentral:rRNA from 1 species